UAGAGUCGUUACAUCUGUAAGUUUUGAUGUCCUGGUAGGUGGACAUUCACAUCGGUGGAGAGCUGGUGGAGUCUCUGUCAGAGGAGGAACCAGACACACCUGUGCAGGAUGAAGCCCCUCCUACUUCAGUAGAGGAUGUACCUGAUGCAGACCUGCCCAGUGGACCACACAGCUACAGACUGGAGGAGCUGGCGUACGCGAGGAGCGGCGACAAAGGAGACUCUGCUAACAUUGGAGUCGUAGCUCGCCAUCCGCUCUACUUCCCCUAUCUGAAGAAAC